UGAGGAAUAUUGCACAAUGGGCGCAUGCCUGAUGCAGCGACGCCGCGUGAGUGAUGAAGGCCUUCGGGUCGUAAAGCUCUUUUCUAGGUGACGGGAAUGGACGGUAGCCUAGGAAUAAGUGUCGGCUAACUACGUGCCGGCAGCCGCGGUAAAACGUAGGACACAAACGUUAUCCGGAGUUACUGGGCGUAAAGGGCGCGCAGGCGGAUUGGUAAGUCUACUCUGAAAGCUCCUGGCUAAACUGGGAGAGGCGAGUGGUGACUGUCAGUCUAGAGUGAGGAAGAGGAAAGUGGAAUUCCGCGUGUAGUGGUGAAAUGCGUAGAGAUGCGGAGGAACACCAGUGGCGAAAGCGGCUUUCUGGUCCUUAACUGACGCUGAGGCGCGAAAGCAUGGGGAGCGAACGGGAUUAGAAACCCCGGUAGUCCAUGCCGUAAACGAUGUUCACUAAACGUUCGUUUCCCGCGAGGGAAGCGGGUGUUGAAGCUAACGCAGUAAGUGAACCGCCUGGGGAGUACGGUCGCAAGGCUA
rnacentral:rRNA from 1 species